AUUGAACGUUGGCGGCAGGCCUAAUACAUGCAAGUCGAACGGCAGCACAGAGAGCUUGCUCUUGGGUGGCGAGUGGCGGACGGGUGAGUAACGCGUAGGAAUCUACCCAGUAGCGGGGGAUAGCCCGGGGAAACCCGGAUUAAUACCGCAUACGCCCCACGGGGGAAAGGCCGGGAUCUUCGGACCGGUCACUAUUGGAGGAGCCUGCGUUGGAUUAGCUUGUUGGUGGGGUAAAGGCCUACCAAGGCUGCGAUCCAUAGCUGGUCUGAGAGGACGAUCAGCCACACUGGAACUGAGACACGGUCCAGACUCCUACGGGAGGCAGCAGUAGGGAAUAUUGGACAAUGGGGCGAACCCUGAUCCAGCCAUGCCGCGUGUGUGAAGAAGGCCU
rnacentral:rRNA from 1 species